rnacentral:lncRNA from 1 species
AUGUCUUUUUGCCUGCGCUCUGCUCGCCCUCUGCCCGCGCUGCCUUCCGCCCAGGUCGCCCUCCGGCUGUGCCCGCCUGCCUACCGCGGGCAUCUCCCACUCCGCGCGCCCAGCAGCCUCCAGGCAACCCCCGCGGCGCGGGGCAGCGCGCAGGGCGCCGUGGCGCCGCCGCCCUGGAAUCCUCUGCGCUCCGGCUCGGCCCCGCCUGGGGUCCCCGCCGCGCCCGGACUGCAGCAGCAUCUGAUCCCGCUGCCGGCCCGGGUUAGGGCCGUGCUUCAGCGGGCCCCCUCUCCCCGCCAAGGCCCCCUCGAGCGCAGCCGCCGCCCCGCGAGUUUCCGAAGGGCCGGCUCGCGCUCCGUCUGCCGGCAGCCGCGUCGCAUCCUGGCGCAAGCUGGAGCCGGGGGAGCCCUGCGUCGGCCGGGCGCCGGAGAUGCCCGCGAGGCCGCGCCCGGAGCGCCGCGGAGACCCGGAGGGCGGCGGCAUCUGCCCCACCACCCCGCCCCGCCCCGCCGCUUACCAUCUUGCUGCCCUCCAUGGCCGGGCCGGGCCGGGCCGGGCGGCGGAGGGGAGGGAGCGGCGCUCUGCCGGCGGCUAGCCGAGGGGUCCCCGCGCCGCCGCUGCCUCCUUCCCUCCCCGGCGGCGGCUGAAUGGGUCGCCGCUGCUGCCGCCGCCUCGCGCCCAGGCGCAGCAGCAGCAGCAGCAGCAGCAGCAGUAGAGAGCCCAGCCCAGCCCAGGCAGGCGGCGGCGGCGGCCGGUGGCAGCGGAGGGGCGGAGCGGAGGGGGCGGUGCCUGCGGGAGGAACCGCCGCCGCGCGCCGCACAACAAAGGCCCGGCCCGCCGCCCGGGGUUGCUGCGCGCCGCGCGCCGGGCGUCUCUGGGCUAGGGUGGCGCUUGACUGGGAAGCGCCCGGGCCCGCCCCCCCCCCCAGGCAAACCCCGCGCGGCGCGGUCCGCCAGUGCGCGGAGAGGCUCCCGGACUGGGGCGCUUCGAGGCCGCCUCGGCACAUGCUCAGGCUCCGACGCCCGUCUCGGAACAGCGUGCCUGGGGUGGUGGAAGUCGGUCGCCACGCGGACGGGAUGCUCCUGGGCCGCUGGGCAGAAGGGCCGCCUCGGCACUCGAGCGAGGGGAGGCGCGCGGGGAAGCAAUGGGGGCUCGGGUUCCCCCUUCCGAUGA